rnacentral:rRNA from 1 species
GGAAUAUUGGUAAUGGGCGAAAGCCUGAACCAGCAACGCCGCGUGCGCGAUGAAGGCCUUCGGGUUGUAAAGCGCUUUUUGAGGGAUGAGGAAGGACAGUACCCUCAGAAUAAGCCUCGGCUAACUACGU